rnacentral:lncRNA from 1 species
CUAGACCAUUAGAUCUUGAUCUACCGUUGGAUGAAGACAUAAUGGAGAGUUGGUUUAACCCAAUUGGAUUGGGUUAGAGGAUGGCUACCAUAAUUGACCAUUGGAUCUUAAUCCCACCAUUAGAUGAAGACAUAAUGGGUCAAGUGAAUGGCGCCUUGCAUUGGAGCCCUUGGAUCAUCAUCAUGAAAGAUCAAGAGGUGAGGCGUGAUGGACAUGUGAUUAGCAUGUGAUGUUGACUUGGUCAAAAUAUGGCACCACAUGAAAGGACAUAUCAUUUGAUACAUCUCCUCACUUGAUCUGCAUGGGACACCCCGUUUGCUGCUCAAACCGUAGCAGGAAAUGCCUCCUCUUAUUUGAUAUGGCCCUUAGAUGAUGUCCUUUCAUGAAAGGAUGUGUGGAUGGGAUGCAUCCCUUGGAGAUGCAUCCCUACACCUAUUAUAAAUAGGCUAGCACUCCAUGGGUUUCAUCAUUCCAAUUCCACCCCACUCCUCUCUUCUUUCUUUCUUACAUUAGUUUCUUUCUUUCUAGCUAUUGCUUCUAGUGUGUCCUAAGCCAAGACAAGGUGGUCUUC